CAGGGAGUAGUUUAAUUCAAAAUACCAGCUUUGGGAGUUGGUGAUGGAGGUUUGAAUCCUUUCUCCCUGA
rnacentral:tRNA from 2 species